AUUGAACGCUGGCGGCAGGCCUAACACAUGCAAGUCGAACGAGUGGCUUACGGGUGAGUAAUGUCUGGGAAACUGCCUGCUGGAGGGGGAUAACUACUGGAAACGGUAGCUAAUACCGCAUACCAUCGGAUGUUCCCCGAUGGGAUUAGUUGGUAGGUGGGGUAAACGCUCACCGCGUCGACGAUCCCUAGCUGGUCUGUGAGGAUGACCAGCCACACUGGGACUGAGACACGGUCCAGACUCCUACGGGAGGCAGCAGUGGGGAAUAUUGCACAAUGGGCGCAAGCCUGAUGCAGCCAUGCCGCGUGUAUGAAGAAGGCCUUCGGGUUGUAAAGUACUUUCAGCGGGGAGGCGUUACCCGCAGAAGAAGCACCGGCUAACUCCGUGCCAGCAGCCGCGGUAAUUC
rnacentral:rRNA from 1 species